ACGUAUGGUGCAAGCGUUAUCCGGAUUUACUGGGUGUAAAGGGAGCGCAGGCGGUGCGGCAAGUCUGAUGUGAAAACCCGGGGCUCAACCCCGGUACUGCAUUGGAAACUGUCGUACUAGAGUGUCGGAGGGGUAAGCGGAAUUCCUAGUGUAGCGGUGAAAUGCGUAGAUAUUAGGAGGAACACCAGUGGCGAAGGCGGCUUACUGGACGAUAACUGACGCUGAGGCUCGAAAGCGUGGGGAGCAAACAG
rnacentral:rRNA from 1 species